rnacentral:rRNA from 1 species
GAUCAUUAUUGAAAUAAACCUGAUGGGUUGUUGCUGGUUCUCUUGGGAGCAUGUGCACGCCUUGUCAUCUUUAUAUCUCCACCUGUGCACCUUUUGUAGACCUUUCAGGGUCUAUGUUGCUUCAUUCACCCCAAUGUAUGUUAAUAGAAUGUUGUGCCUAUAUAAUAUAUACAACUUUCAGCAACGGGAUCUCUUGGCUCUCGCAUCGAUGAAGAACGCAGCGAAAUGCGAUAAGUAAUGUGAAUUGCAGAAUUCAGUGAAUCAUCGAAUCUUUGAACGCACCUUGCGCUCCUUGGUAUUCCGAGGAGCAUGCCUGUUUGAGUGUCAUUAAUAUAUCAAACCUUCUCUCGUUGAGCGGUUUGGAUGUGGGGGUUUGCUGGCCUCUUAAAAGGUUUUGGCUCCCCUGAAAUGCAUUAGCAGAACCAACCCUGUUCAUUGGUGUGAUAAACUAUCUACGCUAUUGAAUGUGAAGGGCAGUUUGGCUUUCUAACAGUCCUCGGACAACUCAUCAU